GAACCCGGGGAACUGAAACAUCUUAGUACCCGGAGGAGGAGAAAGAAAGAGUCGAUUCCCCCAGUAGUGGCGAUCGAAGAGGGAAGAGCCUAAACCGGAGUGUUCACGGACACUCCGGGGUUGUAGGACCGGCGACAUUGACAUCCGCGCCAACCGGAACAUUCUGGAAAGUGUGGGCGCAGAGGGUGACACCCCCGUACGGGCAACGUGCGGAUGUCAUAGCCGGCACCUGAGUAGGGCGGGGCACGUGGAAUCCUGUCCGAACCCGCGGGGACCAUCCCGCAAGGCUAAAGACUGCCGAAGACCGAUAGCGUACCAGUACCGUGAGGGAAAGGUGGGAAGCACCCCGGGAAGGGGAGUGAAAUAGAACCUGAAACCGUGCGCUUGCAAGCGGUCGGAGCACCGGUGACGGUGUGACGGCGUGCCUUUUGCAUAAUGAGCCUACGAGUUGCGUCAGUCCGGCGAGGCUAAGCCCUUCAGGGGCGGAGCCGCAGCGAGAGCGAGUCUGAACAGGGCGUUCAGUCGGGCUGAGCAGACGCGAAACCUAGUGAUCUACCCUUGUCCAGGGUGAAGGCGCCGUAACAGGCGCUGGAGGCCCGAACCAGUUUCCGUUGAAAAGGGCUUGGAUGAGAUGAGGGUAGGAGUGAAAGGCCAAUCAAACUGGGAGAUAGCUCGUACUCCCCGAAAUGUCUUUAGGGACAGCCUCGUCGGUUUCCUUCAUGAGGUAGAGCUACCGAUUGGAAGCGAGGGCUUCGCCGCCUAUCAAUUCCAGACGAACUCCGAAUGCGUGAAGGUUCUACGACGGGAGUGAGUCGUCGGGUGCUAAUAUCCGGCGGCGAGAGGGUAAGAGCCCAGACCUCCGGCCAAGGCCCCCAAGAGCGGUCUAAGUUGAGACAGAACGAAGUGGCGCCGCAGAGACAGCCAGGAUGUUAGCUUGGAAGCAGCUAUUCAUUCAAAGAGUGCGUAACAGCUCACUGGUCGAGCGGAGCCGCGUGGAUGAUGAUCGGGCAUCAAGACCGCCGCCGAAGCCGAGGACGGCUGGCGCGAGUCAGUCGUGGUAGGGGAGCAUUCCGGUCGGCGCUGAAGGGAAGUCGCGAGGCUUCCUGGAGCGUCCGGAAAAGAAAAUGUAGGCAUGAGUAACGACAAGGGGCGUAGAAACGCCCCCGCCGAAAACCCAAGGUUUCCGGGGCCACGCUAAACGGCCCCGGGUGAGCCGGGAGCUAACGGUAAGCCGAGAGGCGAUCCGGAUGCACACGCGGUUAAUAUUCCGCGGCCGGCCCGUCGGGCGAUGUCGCGACCGAGAAGUGAAACCUCCGCGCGGAGACGGAAUUCCGCGUUGAAGGCCGUAGGGGUGACCCGAAAGCCGACAGUACGGCGAGCCUCCGGGCGAGCCGACAGCGAGGGUAACCAUGCUCGCGAGAAAAGCGACUAGCGCUAAGAGACGGGCCGCCCGUACCGUAAACCGACACAGGUGGGUGGGGAGAGUAUCCUGAGGCGCUCGAGUGAAUCACGGCCAAGGAACUAGGCAAAUUGACCCCGUAACUUAGGGAUAAGGGGUCCCGCGGCGACGCGGGCGCAGAGAAAUGGCCCAGGCGACUGUUUACCAAAAACAUAUGGCUAUGCGAAAUCGUUAAGAUGACGAAUAUGGCCUGACACCUGCCCGGUGCCGGAAGGUUAAGAGGGGGGGUCACCGAAAGGGAAGCCCUGAAUUGAAGCCCCGGUAAACGGCGGCCGUAACUAUAACGGUCCUAAGGUAGCGAAAUUCCUUGUCGGGUAAGUUCCGACCUGCACGAAUGGUGUAACGAUCUGGGCGCUGUCUCAGCCGUGAGCUCGGUGAAAUUGUAGUGACGGUGAAGAUGCCGUCUACCCGCAACGGGACGAAAAGACCCCGUGAACCUUUACUAUAGCUUAGCGCUGAUCUUGGACGUCGGAUGUGUAGCAUAGGUGGGAGGCUUCGAGGCGCGGCCGCCAGGUCGCGAUUAGCCGCCAAAUGAAAUACCACCCUUCCGUCGUCUGGGGUCUAACUUCGCGAGAAGGACACCGCUUGGUGGGUAGUUUGACUGGGGUGGUCGCCUCCAAAAGAGUAACGGAGGCUUCCCAAGGUCCGCUCAGGACGAAUGGCAACCGUCCGCAGAGUGCAGUGGCAUAAGCGGGCUUGACUGGGAGACAAACAGGUCGAGCAGGUACGAAAGUAGGGCAAAGUGAUCCGGCGGUUCCCCAUGGGAGGGCCGUCGCUCAUAGGACAAAAGGUACUCCGGGGAUAACAGGCUGAUC
rnacentral:rRNA from 1 species